rnacentral:sRNA from 1 species
GCCAGGCCGUCAUAAAAGCACAAGCCAAUGUGCUUCCCUCUAAAGAGGUUGACGGCGAGCGGUAUCAUGCUGAAAGGAAGCAGGGGUACCGCAGACGCCGACCAUCCCCAAAGCGGGAGG